rnacentral:rRNA from 1 species
AGUGAACGCUGGCGGUAGGCCUAACACAUGCAAGUCGAACGGCAGCACAGUAAGAGCUUGCUCUUACGGGUGGCGAGUGGCGGACGGGUGAGGAAUACAUCGGAAUCUACUUUUUCGUGGGGGAUAACGUAGGGAAACUUACGCUAAUACCGCAUACGACCUACGGGUGAAAGCAGGGGAUCUUCGGACCUUGCGCGAUUGAAGGAGCAGAUGUCGGAUUAGCUAGUUGGCGGGGUAAAGGCCCACCAAGGCGACGAUCCGUAGCUGGUCUGAGAGGAUGAUCAGCCACACUGGAACUGAGACACGGUCCAGACUCUUACGGGAGGCAGCAGUGGGGAAUAUUGGACAAUGGGCGCAAGCCUGAUCCAGCCAUACCGCGUGGGUGAAGAAGGCCUUCGGGUUGUAAAGCCCUUUUGUUGGGAAAGAAAAGCAGCAGGUUAAUACCCCGCUGUUCUGACGGUACCCAAAGAAUAAGCACCGGCUAACUUCGUG